rnacentral:rRNA from 1 species
AUACGGAGGGUGCGAGCGUUGUUCGGAAUUAUUGGGCGUAAAGAGCAUGUAGGCGGUCUGUGAAGUCUGGUGUGAAAGCCCGGGGCUCAACCCCGGAAGUGCAUUGGAUACUGGCAGACUUGAGUAUGGGAGAGGAAAGCGGAAUUCCGAGUGUAGGAGUGAAAUCCGUAGAUAUUCGGAGGAACACCAGUGGCGAAGGCGGCUUUCUGGACCAAUACUGACGCUGAGAUGCGAAAGCGUGGGGAGCAAACAGGAUUAGAAACCCUAGUAGUCC